GCCGGGCAGCGACGACGUCCCGAUCAAGCCCCUUCAGCUGUUGGUUCAAGCGAGCAUCGCCUUGGCCGACGUCGGAUUCCUGUGCUGAAUUCCUAACGGAUGGCAAUCUCUAGUCCCACCAACGUCCCGUACUCCUCCCCUCGUCGCGGCUCCGCAAGGACACGCGGCGCGGGGAGGACAUCAAAGCCCCCGUCGUGUCUCGCAGCCCUCGCGCCCGCCCAGCACGGGCGCGCCCGGGCCUGCCGACCCACGACGUCGCGCUCGAUCUCUCGGAUGCGGAAAACCAAGCGGCCACGAGGCCACGGCCUCCGAUGCCCCUCACAAGAGCGCCCGACGCUCCCUGCGGACGACUGCCGGCCGGGUCUUGGCCCGGAGCCCCAGCGGCUCCCGGAUCAUGCCCGUCCGGCGUCGACGAGGAAUGCUACCUGGUUGAUCCUGCCAGUAGUCA
rnacentral:misc_RNA from 1 species